CAUUAAUGAAAAACUUUUCCAAAUAGUUUUUUUAUAUCCCAUUGUCUACCUACCAUGUUGCUUCCACUGGACCCGUUUUACCUGAUGUGUGAGACCUUUGGCUUGUGUGAAUAACUCAAGUCAGGGAGUUGUCGGUGGCAAGACCAUUUACCAAAACUUGAUUAAAAACACAUUGUCUGAAUCUUUUGCUUCAAUAUAAUAAAACUUUCAACAACGGAUCUCUAGGCUCUUGCAUCGAUGAAGAACGCAGUGAAAUGCGAUAAGUAAUGUGAAUUGCAGAAUCUCGUGAAUCAUCGAAUCUUUGAACGCACAUUGCGCCCCAUGGUAUUCCGUGGGGCAUGCCUGUCUGAGCGUCAGCUCCCACCCCACUCAAGUAUCUCUUUAUCAGAUACUUGGAAUGCUUUGGAGAAGUGUCUUGUUAUAGAGACACCCCCCAGAAAUUGAUAGGCAGUAUGGUUUGCACCUGAACCAGACGUAAUAAUAAUAAAAUCGUUUGUUCAGGUAUAAUUGUGCUUGCCUUAACGCACUCAUUUAGUUUUUUUAAUCUUUGGGUGACCUCAGAUCAGGUAGGGAUACCCGCUGAACUUAA
rnacentral:rRNA from 1 species